rnacentral:tRNA from 1 species
GCCUGGGUGGCUCAGUCGGUUGGGCAUCCGACUUCGGCUCAGGUCAUGAUCUCACAGUCUGUGAGUUCGAGCCCCGCUUCGGGCU